UUUUGUUUUGCUGGGGCGGCAGGAAUAUAAGCUUAACUGUUUUAUAUUUAAAAUACUAUAAGUAGAGAAUGGUCCUUUAUUAAGGAGAUAAGAGUAAGUUACUUUAGGGAUAACAGCAUAAUUUUUUCUAAGAGUUCUUAUUGAAGGGAAUAGUUGUGACCUCGAUGUUGAAUUAAAUUUUCCCUUAGGUGCAGGAGUUUAAUGGGAGGGUCUGUUCGACCUUUAAAUAUUUACAUGAUUCAUU
rnacentral:rRNA from 1 species